rnacentral:tRNA from 1 species
AGCAGUGUGGCUCAGUGGAAAGAGCAUGGGCUUGGGAGUCAGAGGUCAUGGGUUCGAAUCCCGGCUCUGCCA